AAAUUGCGUCUCCCUCCAUCCACAAAAACCCUAAAAAUAUAGAGGGAGCACAUAACAAGCACGAUAGGGAGUGUGUGAGAGAGAGGAAGAAAUGGGAGAGAGAGACGACUACAAGUUUCUGAAAAUAAAAGACGCCAUUUCUGCAAUCAACCAGAAAGUCAAUCUAAUCGGCGUUGUUAUCGAGCUCGGUUUCCCCAAAACCACCCGAGGAACCGAUUAUUUUUGUUCAGUGAAAAUAGUUGAUGAAUCAUACCCGAAGCCUGGAAUUCCGGUCAACUUUUUCAUGGCACAUAUGGAAAAUCUGCCUAGUGUUGGGUCGCCUGGAGAUAUAAUUCAACUUUCUCGUGUCGUGAUGAAAACUCACAACGAUGGUGUCUAUGCUCUUUUCAAUAAAAAAUUUUCUUCUUUUGCGUUAUAUGAAGGAAAAAAUGGUGAAGACUUCCUACCUUAUCAAUGCUCAUUAUUUCGUCCAAGAGACCAUGACUCGAAGUUUAUAGCAGGCAUGAGAAAAUGGUUGGUUGACUUUCAUGUUGAUGAAGGAGUAAAUACUUUCUCCUUCCUGAGAGAGAUGAGGGAAGGACAGCAUGCUAAUUUGGUUUGCAAGAUACUUCAUGUUUGUGAGAUUGCCAAGAAUGAGUGGAUGGUGCUUGUUUGGGAUGGAACAGAUUCUCCACCAAUCAGCAUUAAUACAAAUCCAGAGCACAAAAUGGAUGAACAACUUCCUUUACAGUUGGAACCCUCGCCUCCUUUGUCUAGAGAUUUAUUACGUACAUUUCCUACUGUUGGAACGAUAUUACGGGUAAUCAUCGACAAAGUCAAUCAGAAGCAUGUUCUCCACCUGCUCAAUACAGGUGAAUGGGUAAAGUUCAUCAGCAUACUCUGUGAAGUGCAUGCAGGACUGUGGUGUGGUGUGUUGACACCUUUCACAAAGCUUAGAUAUUUGUCAAAUGAGGACCAUUUCGUCUUAGCGUGCCAAAGGUCAUACAAUGAGCGUUUGUCGCUGAAAUUAGGGCGCAUCCCAUAUUGGUGCUUUCCAUGGUGUUCACAAAUUACAGAGGUUGACUAUGACCACAUGCCAUUUGUUACGUUAAUGGAUGUUCUCACCUAUUCAGAGGCAACUGCUAGAUUCAAGUGCAUAAUUAGAGUAGUGGCUGCAUUUCCAUGGCGUGCUGAGGACUUCUCUCAUCAUGGGACGUACAGAAUUAGACUAACCAUAGAGGAUCCAACUGCCAGAAUUCAUGCUUUCAUCUAUGCUGAAGAUGGGUGUUAUGCAAAAUUCCCAUGUUUCUUUUAAGGUUUAGAGAUGAAUCUUUUUAAGGGAAGUCCUUCAGCCUCAUUUAUUUUUGGUCCCUUGAUGUACCAUUGAGGAAGACUGCAAGAAUGACCGACUGAAGUUUCAAGGGAGAGAAGAGAGUGGAGUAGCUGACUUGAAAUAGAAAAAACCGGAGUGGAAGUGAUAAGAGUGAUUCAAUGUCAUAACAACUUUUAAAGUGUUCAGCUUCUAACAAAACUGGAGGAAUGAUCCAUGUAGCUGACUCUAAUUGGUUUAGGAUGGGGGCAUGGGAGAAAUUUUUUGAUGGUAACCCGUCGAUUGAUGUGCUGACAAGGAAGCGAGACAAAUUGCUUGGAGUGGCUGCAAAUAAUGAUGGCAAAGGAACCAAUCCCGCGUCCAGAAAUCCACCAUGGGUGCAGUGUUGCUUGAAA